GUCCGGGUGGCGGAAUGGCAGACGCGCUAGCUUGAGGUGCUAGUCCCUUAACGGGGGUGGGGGUUCAAGUCCCCCUCCGGACAC
rnacentral:tRNA from 1 species